rnacentral:rRNA from 1 species
UACGGGGGGGGGCAAGCGUUGUUCGGAAUUACUGGGCGUAAAGGGCUCGUAGGCGGCCAACUAAGUCGGAUGUGAAAUCCCCAGGCUCAACCUGGGAACUGCAUCCGAUACUGGAUGGCUUGAAUUCGGGAGAGGGAUGCAGAAUUCCAGGUGUAGCGGUGAAAUACGCAGAUAUCAGGAGGAACACCGGUGGCGAAGGCGGGAUCCUGGGCCAGUACUGACGCUGAGGAGCGAAAGCGUGGGGAGCAAACAGG